rnacentral:rRNA from 1 species
UACGUAGGGUGCGAGCGUUGUCCGGAAUUAUUGGGCGUAAAGAGCUCGUAGGCGGUCUGUCGCGUCGAUCGUGAAAACUUGGGGCUUAACCCUGAGCUUGCGGUCGAUACGGGCAUGACUGGAGUUCGGCAGGGGAGACUGGAAUUCCUGGUGUAGCGGUGAAAUGCGCAGAUAUCAGGAAGAACACCAACGGCGAAGGCAGCUCGCUAGGACGGUACUGACGCUGAGACGCGAAAGCGUGGGGAGCGAACAGG